rnacentral:rRNA from 1 species
UGAGGAAUAUUGGACAAUGGGCGCAAGCCUGAUCCAGCCAUGCCGCGUGCAGGAUGACGGUCCUAUGGAUUGUAAACUGCUUUUUGUACAGGAAGAAACAGUUCUACGUGUAGAACCUUGACGGUACUGUAAGAAUAAGGAUCGGCUAACUCCGUGCCAGCAGCCGCGGUAAUACGGAGGAUCCAAGCGUUAUCCGGAAUCAUUGGGUUUAAAGGGUCCGUAGGCGGUUAGAUAAGUCAGUGGUGAAAGCCCAUCGCUCAACGGUGGAACGGCCAUUGAUACUGUCUGACUUGAAUUAUUAGGAAGUAACUAGAAUAUGUAGUGUAGCGGUGAAAUGCUUAGAGAUUACAUGGAAUACCAAUUGCGAAGGCAGGUUACUACUAAUGGAUUGACGCUGAUGGACGAAAGCGUGGGUAGCGAACAGGAUUAGAUACCCGAGUAGUCCCUGAGCGGGCUGGCAAGGCGCAU